rnacentral:rRNA from 1 species
UACGUAGGUGGCGAGCGUUGUCCGGAUUUACUGGGCGUAAAGAGCGCGCAGGCGGUCGGAUAAGUCGAAUGUGAAAGCCCCCGGCUCAACUGGGGAGGGUCAUUCGAUACUGUUCGACUGGAAGGCAGGAGAGGGAAGCGGAAUUCCCGGUGUAGUGGUGAAAUGCGUAGAUAUCGGGAGGAACACCAGUGGCGAAGGCGGCUUCCUGGCCUGUUCUUGACGCUGAGGCGCGAAAGCUAGGGGAGCAAACGGG